UGGGGAAUAUUGCACAAUGGGCGCAAGCCUGAUGCAGCCAUGCCGCGUGUGUGAAGAAGGCCUUCGGGUUGUAAAGCACUUUCAGCGAGGAGGAAGGUGGUGAACUUAAUACGUUCAUCAAUUGACGUUACUCGCAGAAGAAGCACCGGCUAACUCCGUGCCAGCAGCCGCGGUAAUACGGAGGGUGCAAGCGUUAAUCGGAAUUACUGGGCGUAAAGCGCACGCAGGCGGUUUGUUAAGUCAGAUGUGAAAUCCCCGGGCUCAACCUGGGAACUGCAUUUGAAACUGGCAAGCUAGAGUCUCGUAGAGGGGGGUAGAAUUCCAGGUGUAGCGGUGAAAUGCGUAGAGAUCUGGAGGAAUACCGGUGGCGAAGGCGGCCCCCUGGACGAAGACUGACGCUCAGGUGCGAAAGCGUGGGGAGCAAACAGGAUUAGAUACCCCCGGUAGUCCACGCUGUAAAACGAUGUCGAUUUGGAGGUUGUGCCCUUGAGGCGUGGCUUCCGGAGCUAACGCGUUAAAUCGACCGCCUGGGGAGUACGGCCGCAAGGUUAAAACUCAAAUGAAUUG
rnacentral:rRNA from 1 species